rnacentral:rRNA from 1 species
UCCGGGGGGGGCAAGCGUUGUGCGGAAUUACUGGGCGUAAAGGGCGCGUAGGCGGCCUGCUAAGUCGGACGUGAAAUCCCUCGGCUCAACCGGGGAACUGCGUCCGAUACUGGUGGGCUCGAAUCCGGGAGAGGGAUGUGGAAUUCCAGGUGUAGCGGUGAAAUGCGUAGAUAUCUGGAGGAACACCGGUGGCGAAGGCGGCAUCCUGGACCGGUAUUGACGCUGAUGCGCGAAAGCCAGGGGAGCAAACGGG